rfam:Mesocricetus auratus contig173603, whole genome shotgun sequence.
CUAACGGCCCUUUUUAGGGCCAACCACAAGCCCACCAGAAGAGCUG